rnacentral:rRNA from 1 species
CCUACGGGCGGCUGCAGUGGGGAAUAUUGGACAAUGGGGGGAACCCUGAUCCAGCGACGCCGCGUGAGUGAAGAAGUAUUUCGGUAUGUAAAGCUCUAUCAGCAGGGAAGAAAGAAAUGACGGUACCUGACUAAGAAGCCCCGGCUAACUACGUGCCAGCAGCCGCGGUAAUACGUAGGGGGCAAGCGUUAUCCGGAUUUACUGGGUGUAAAGGGAGCGUAGACGGCGAUGCAAGUCUGAAGUGAAAGGCGGGGGCCCAACCCCCGGACUGCUUUGGAAACUGUAUGGCUGGAGUGCAGGAGAGGUAAGUGGAAUUCCUAGUGUAGCGGUGAAAUGAGUAGAUAUUAGGAGGAAAACCAGUGGCGAAGGCGGCUUACUGGACUGUAACUGACGUUGAGGCUCGAAAGCGUGGGGAGCAAACAGGAGUAGAUACCCCUGUAGUC